CCUACGGGGGGCUGUAGUGAGGAAUAUUGGUCAAUGGACGAGAGUCUGAACCAGCCAAGUAGCGUGAAGGAUGACUGCCCUAUGGGUUGUAAACUUCUUUUAUAUGGGAAUAAAAUGUUCCACGUGUGGGAUUUUGUAUGUACCAUAUGAAUAAGGAUCGGCUAACUCCGUGCCAGCAGCCGCGGUAAUACGGAGGAUCCGAGUGUUAUCCGGAUUUAUUGGGUUUAAAGGGAGCGUAGGUGGAUUGUUAAGUCAGUUGUGAAAGUUUGCGGCUCAACCGUAAAAUUGCAGUUGAAACUGGCAGUCUUGAGUACAGUAGAGGUGGGCGGAAUUCGUGGUGUAGCGGUGAAAUGCUUAGAUAUCACGAAGAACUCCGAUUGCGAAGGCAGUUCACUGGACUGCAACUGACACUGAGGCUCGAAAGUGUGGGUAUCAAACAGGAUUAGAUACCCUAGUAGUC
rnacentral:rRNA from 1 species